ensembl:lncRNA
AGUUUUGUCCUGUCAACCUACAGCAGUUGAGAAAGUGCAGAAAUCGAAUCCUUAGAGUUGGAAGGGACCUUCAAAAAUCAUCUACUCCAGCUCCCCAGCAAUGAACAAGGACACUACAGCUAGAUCAGGUUGCUCAGGCCCUGAUCCAACCUCGCUUUGAAAGUCUCCAGGGACGGGGCAUCAACCACACCUCUGGGCAACCUGUUCCAGUGCCUUACCACUCUCACUGUAAAAGCCUUUUUCCUUCUAUCCAACCUAAAUCUCCUCUCUUUGAGCUUGAAGCCUCACUCUUACUGUUUUCACAGUCUGGUUUUCAUUGGGAUGUUGCUUGUAUUCCCACAAGGCUAAACAUUUUCAGCUAUUGAUGGCAGUUAAUAGCUUGUGGAGGGAUGUGUGAGAAGAGUUGUUUGCAGGGGCAAAAAAAAAAAGAAAUAUAAAUAAAAGCUGAGGUUUUUAGACUGAAACAGCUGAGAGAAAGGCAUUGGAGUGUAGAUGUCAUAUAUAUGGAUGUGAAACAUUCCUAAAAAUGUGUUGCAUCUCAAAGAUGGUCAAAAUAUGGACUUCAGUUCUGCUACAUUUGAGGCUACUUGUUGGGUUCUGGUGCACACCAUUAGUUCGGAGAGGCGGAUGUUUUGUGUUGGAAUAAGCUGUCAGCAAUUUGUGUCAGCCCUGCUGGGGCUGCCUGCAUUUAGGUAGUCGUAUGGGGACAAAGGAAAUCGAGAACUUUUUCUAGGUUACAGCAGUUUUCAAAUCCACCCAAAUACUCUCUCAUGCGGGCUUCUCACCUGCAGCUUUAAGACGUCCAUCAGUCUCAUGGGAUCUCUGGUAAACACCGAGUAGAUUCCCUGGAGUGCUUCAUCAAGAUCAAGUGCAGCAAAAGACUCAGUGCUGUCUCAUUCUCUGCCCAGCCUUGGGCACAGAUUUGAGCAACAUGAGAGCUGCUGUGACCCAUGUCAUCUGGCAGUGGUCCCCAAGAGCUUGUUUACACAGGAUAUUUUUUCACGAGAAUGUAAUUACACCGCUGAAACUACAUGAGCGUGAAAACUUUGCACGUGUAGCAGAGUUAAGCCAGUGGAGAGAGUACCCACGUUCAGAGGCUUUGACAGGACUCAGCAUCCAACAGCAUCUGAUGGAUCACCUAUUACAGUCUGAAGACUUUAAAUCUGUCCAAGAGUGGUUUCCAAAGCUCAGAAUGAACGAUUUUGUAAUCAGCAACCUGACUUCCAGAGCUGCUUGAUAGUACAAAAUCUCAUUAAAGAUAAAAGACUAAAAGAAAAAAUCCUGAAACACCUGGUAUCACCAACUCCCAGCAAGAAGCAGCAUUACUGAACACUGUGGCAGAAGCCUGGAUUCUAGAAAGAUCAGGGAAAAAGAAGAAACUGCAGUAGAAACAUUUGGCUUGUCACAAUUGUUAUAUGGCACCGUAGCUGCAACUUCGUAAUGUGCAAUAAAACUGACAUGACGAGUUUUCUUUGAAAAGCACUUUGGUUCUGGAAUAAAAUCACAUGCAUCAAAAAUAUGGCAUAGCCUUCUGUAUUGCAUAAUGUAUUGCAUAAGAGAAAAUAGAGAAUAGCUGUU